rnacentral:misc_RNA from 1 species
AACGCACAUUGCGCCCGCCAGUAUUCUGGCGGGCAUGCCUGUUCGAGCGUCAUUUCAACCCUCAGGCCCCCAGUGCCUGGCGUUGGAGAUCGGCCGUGCGGCACGCAAGCCCUCCGGGGCCUGCGGCGCCGGGCCGGCUCCGAAAUCUAGUGGCGGUCUCGCUGUAGUCCUCCUCUGCGUAGUAGCACAACCUCGCAGUUGGAACGCGGCGGUGGCCAUGCCGUUAAACACCCCACUUCUGAAAGUUGACCUCGGAUCAGGUAGGAAUACCCGCUGAACUUAA